UACAGAGGGUGCAAGCGUUGUUCGGAAUUACUGGGCGUAAAGCGCGCGUAGGCGGAUCUGCAAGUCGGGGGUGAAAUCCCGAGGCUCAACCUCGGAACUGCCUUCGAUACUGCGGGUCUCGAGUCCGGGAGAGGUGAGUGGAAUUCCUAGUGUAGAGGUGAAAUUCGUAGAUAUUAGGAAGAACACCAGUGGCGAAGGCAGCGCCCUAGACGAGACCUGACGCUCAGGCACGAAAGCGCGGGGAGCGAACAGG
rnacentral:rRNA from 1 species